rnacentral:rRNA from 1 species
UGGGGAAUAUUGGGCAAUGGGCGAAAGCCUGACCCAGCAACGCCGCGUGAGGGAAGAAGGGUUUCGGCUCGUAAACUUCUGUCCUAUGGGACGAAGGAAGUGACGGUACCAUAGGAGGAAGCCCCGGCUAACUACGUGCCAGCAGCCGCGGUAAUACGUAGGGGGCGAGCGUUGUCCGGAAUGAUUGGGCGUAAAGGGCGCGUAGGCGGCCUGCUAAGUCUGGAGUGAAAGUCCUGCUUUCAAGGUGGGAAUUGCUUUGGAUACUGGGAGGCUGGAGUGCAGGAGAGGAAAGCGGAAUUACCGGUGUAGCGGUGAAAUGCGUAGAGAUCGGUAGGAACACCAGUGGCGAAGGCGGCUUUCUGGACUGAAACUGACGCUGAGGCGCGAAAGCGUGGGGAGCAAACAGGAUUAGAUACC